rnacentral:rRNA from 1 species
UACGGAGGGUGCGAGCGUUGUCCGGAAUCACUGGGCGUAAAGCGCACGUAGGCGGAUGUGUCAGUCAGGGGUGAAAUCCCGGAGCUCAACUUCGGAACUGCCUUUGAUACAGCACGUCUGAGUCCGAUAGAGGUGGGUGGAAUUCCUAGUGUAGAGGUGAAAUUCGGUAGAUAUUAGGAAGAACACCGGUGGCGAAGGCGGCCCACUGGAUCGGUACUGACGCUGAGGUGCGAAAGCGUGGGGAGCAAACAGG